AAACCAGCACCUCAAGUGGUCAGGAGGAUUAUUGGGCCUAAAGCAUCCGUAGCCUGCUUUGUAAGUUUUCGGUUAAAUCCAUAUGCUCAACAUAUGGGCUGCCGGGAAUACUGCACAGCUAGGGAGUGGGAGAGGUAGACGGUACUCGGUAGGUAGGGGUAAAAUCCUUUGAUCUAUUGAUGACCACCUGUGGCGAAGGCGGUCUACCAGAACACGUUCGACGGUGAGGUACGAAAGCGUGGGUAGCGAACGGGAUUAGAAACCCCAGUAGUCC
rnacentral:rRNA from 1 species